GACGAACGCUGGCGGCGUGCCUAAUACAUGCAAGUAGAACGCUGAAGAGAGGAGCUUGCUCUUCUUGGAUGAGUUGCGAACGGGUGAGUAACGCGUAGGUAACCUGACUUGUAGCGGGGGAUAACUAUUGGAAACGAUAGCUAAUACCGAAUAACAAUGGAUGACACAUGUCAUUUAUUUGAAAGGGGCAAUUGUUUCACUACAAGAUGGACCUGCGUUGUAUUAGCUAGUAGGUGAGGUAAUGGCUCACCUAGACGACGAUACAUAGCCGACCUGAGAGGGUGAUCGGCCACGCUGGUACUGAGACACGGCCCAGACUCCUACGAGAGGCAGCAGUAGGGAAUCUUCGGCGAUGGCAGCAACCGGGACCGAGCAACGCCGCGUGAGUGAAGGAUGUAUUCGGAUCGUGUAGCUCUGUUGUAAGUCAGGAUCGGGUGUGAGUGUGGAAAGUGCACACUGUGACGGUAGCGUACCAGAAAGGUACGGCUAACUACGUG
rnacentral:rRNA from 1 species